GAUGAACGCUGGCGGCGUGCCUAACACAUGCAAGUCGAGCGAACAGACGAGGAGCUUGCUCCUCUGACGUUAGCGGCGGACGGGUGAGUAACACGUGGAUAACCUACCUAUAAGACUGGGAUAACUUCGGGAAACCGGAGCUAAUACCGGAUAAUAUAUUGAACCGCAUGGUUCAAUAGUGAAGGACGGUUUUGCUGUCACUUAUAGAUGGAUCCGCGCCGCAUUAGCUAGUUGGUAAGGUAACGGCUUACCAAGGCAACGAUGCGUAGCCGACCUGAGAGGGUGGUCGGCCACACUGGAACUGGGACGCGGUCCAGACUCCUACGGGAGGCAGCAGUAGGGAAUGUUCCGCAGUGGGCGGAAGCUUGGCGGAGCAACGCCGCGUGAGUGAUAGAGGUCUUGGGUUCGUGAAACUCUGUUAUUAGGGAAGAACAAAUGUGUAAGUAACUAUGCACGUCUUGACGGUACCUAAUCAGAAAGCCACGGCUAACUACGUG
rnacentral:rRNA from 1 species